rnacentral:rRNA from 1 species
GACGAAGGAUGCAAGCGUUAUCCGGAUUCAUUGGGUUUAAAGGGAGCGUAGGUGGACUGAUAAGUCAGAGGUGAAAUCUUUGGGCUUAACCCAAAAAUUGCCAUUGAUACUGUUGGUCUUGAGUAUAGUUGCCGUUGGCGGAAUAUGACAUGUAGUGGUGAAAUACAUAGAGAUGUCAUAGAACACCGAUUGCGAAGGCAGCUGACGAAACUAUAACUGACACUGAGGCUCGAAAGUGUGGGGAUCAAACAGG